CGCCGCCCCGCGGGCCGCAGCCGUUUCGGCCCGCGUCACCGGGCUCUGCCGCUCUGGCCGGUCGCCGCCGCAGACUGGAGCUCCGGGAGGAUGAGAGAGAAAGAAGUGCGACCAAUGCAAGGCGCCUUUCGCUUUGGAGACGGUCCCUGUUGCUUUGGGGAGGACCGGAGGAUCACGAUUCGAUCACCUUUAUUUUCUCUUCUCAGAUUAUAGCACUGCAAGUAUUGACGACUUAUGCAGCCAAGCGCACUGGUGGACAAUCUUGCUGUCGUGCAUAAUUUUGCUUCCUCGUAUGAACUCAAGUGAAGGAAUCAUCCUGGCAAACUUCCUGGAAACACCAACGAAAGGAACAUGUUGGACUAUAUAUAUCCUUCUACUGUCAUUAGUCAACCAUGGAGGGCCGGUAUUGGACGGGAAGUCUUGAAAAGCAGAUCUGGCCACACGCUGCUCAACAGUUGGUAUCAUUGACGGAAUCGUCAGGCGCACACAAGUCUCCGCUCAGUGGAUUGGAACCGGUUUCUCUGCGAUACGUGAUGGAUGAAGGUUCGUGCUUGGUUACACUCGCUUAGCACGCUUCAGGUUCACGCCCGCUAGACUUUUUAAGUUUUUCUUUUUUGAGGGUUUAAAUGUAAAAUAUUCAGAAGUCAGGUCGUCGCUUAUGUUGCUGUUUUAAGUCUGUUUGUUGCGGACGGGCCUCUGGUCCGGUGGUAGCGUACCGGCGGGGGUUCGAGCCUCCGUCCCGCACCUGAGUGCCGCGGUGCGUGCGUGUGUGUUGAUGUGUGUAAGCCUGGGUACGACGCAUUUUGAGACUUCUUUUUUUUUU